GGUUCCCGACCCUUGCUGAGCCUCCCCGCCCCACAUCCUUUCUCUCAGCUGGCCCUGACAGCCUCUGUGAAAGCUGCACAGCCUCACACGUACACCUCCUACAGCUGGGGAUCCGGCUGUCAUGUCAGAGCCCUCCCCCCCAACUGUAAAUUCCUAAAGUCUUCUUCCUGCCUCGCCUGCCUCAGUACAGUACCCGAGCCCAGCGGGACUCCAGGAAACUGGCGCGCAUCACUUCACCGGCCUUUGAUCCGCAUGAGACCCAGGCUUGGCCCCUCCUCUCCCAGCACUGAUUUCCUUUCAAUAAACAUCAACUCCACUAACCCCAUUCACCAAGAAAAACAUCUUUUUGUUCAAAAUAGGUCAUAUUUAUUUUCAUAGCUUUACAAUCUCCCUGUAAAGACGAGGGCCAGACUGGGUCAUUCCUACCAAAGCAGAUGGAAUUCUUCUCAAACAAUUUACAAUAAAAUUAAGCUGGCACUGAUAGCCAACGUGAAUGAAUUGGAGGAAAUGGAGCAAAGUUCAGAGAGAAAGGCGUAUCCACCUCGAUCCAGGGCCUCCCCUGAGGACCAGACCUUGUGGUCAACUGACACUAAUUAAACUCCAGCAGUCUGCACAGCACUUGCUGGGUGGUGGGCAGACUCUGCCCUGCAGCAACUUACUCCCUGAGGAUGUGAGACCCACAUGCAUUUAAAGAUGGUGUCGUGUCACAGUGAACCGGAAGAGGCCAUCAAACUGCAAAACUCUGAGUUGGUGAGUCCAGGCUGGCUUCCUGGAGAAGAAGGAAGAAUUCAUCUCGACCAUGUUUAGGAGCUGGAGAGCCUGCUGCAAACCCCAGUCCUCGCUCUCACAAGCCCCACAAAGAGGCAAUGCACUCAAGCCCUUGUGGUCCUGGUCUAUUUGUCUGAGACCACCCCCGGGGUUGGGGGUGGAUUCUGCUUCACUGGGUCGUGGUGGAGGCUCGACGACUUCACACAGUGAAGCUGAGGCCUGCGUCUGGCACAGGAGAAGCUCUCAGCACCAUCGGCUUUCACCACCACCAGCAUCCCCAUCACCAUCAGUACUGGGAUUACUAUGCUAAUUAAUAAAGAUUUUUUUUUCUCUACUUAGGAGAAAGAAAACAGAAUAACAACAAGAAUGGCCGCUGUGACAUUUCGUGUCCAUUUUUAUCCUUAGAACAUAAAAGCACAAGCAGCCAUGAAGGAAUCCAAGUUUAGAUCCAGAUGGAUACUGCACUGCCUCUCAGGUGCCCAAGGACACAGCUCCGUAGGGAAACACACAGGAAAGGCGGCACGGUGCCAUCAGCACCCGUUAACACGACUCGAGCUUGCGGUGCCAGGUACUAUGACUCCUCCAUUUCGUUUCUGCAGAAAGGCUCUGAGGUUGAUAAAAUCAUCCGUGUUUCACAGAUGGCACCACGCCAAGGCUCUCCUCUAAUACGCUGCCUUCUGGAAAUGCGAGGACGGAGGCCACUGCCUGCAAACACCUCACACUGGGGCUGGGCAAAAAUAGAACUGGAAGCACAUUCACAGGAAGAGGGAACACAUAAUCAGGGUCAUCCGAAUGAAACAUUAGACACACAGCGGGGUUGCUCAGGAAACUAGGGAUGGAAUGGGAAAAUGUCAGAGGAGACUCAUUUUGAACAUUAUUUAAAGGAGAAAAUUGCACUGCGCUGUGAGAAAAAUAGAAGGCUCUCUGUGCAAACAUCUCCUGAGCUGAGUUCUGUGCCUAACUUGAACACUUUACAUUAGGGAAAAAACAAAUCCCAUGAGGUUAGUGUUGUUACUAUUCAAAUGCCAGAACCAAAACUCAGAGAGGUUUGUGAAUGGGACCAAGAUGGACUCGGGGAGCCAGGCACAGAGCCAGGGAGAUCCCCUGACUUCAGGGCAACGGAGAGAGUAAACAUGUCAGGCAGAAUAGAAAGAAAAGUGCUCAAGUAGGAAACGACAGAUUCCAGGAUGAUUUUUUUAAAGUCAUCUAUAAUCCACAAAACUUGGACCAGCUGUGUGGACUGGAUGAUGCCAAGUUCUUUGUGCACAGAAACUGAACCAUGGUUACCCUGGAUGCUAACACUGGGGGAGGUGGGGCACGGGACCACCCCAUGCAUUACUCAGCAACUAUCUAGAAAUCUACACACAUUUUAAAGCUGCAUAUAACACAGGCAGGGCUGCUUCCUUUAAGGAGAGGGGGUGGCUGGCAGAGGCCUGGACUCGCCCCCGAGCUGCAUGGGGACACAGCCCUUGCUCAGCGGAGCCAGAGCCUCACCCACCUGCCCUGAGUGACCGAGCAGCCCUGCACUGGGGCAGCCGCACUGGAGGGAGGAACACGACCUGCCAACACUUAGGCUGAGCCUUACGAUGGUUUCCCACAGUGCCAAGGGCCACCUGAGUACACCAAGGGUCACAAGACCCAGCUCACAGCUCUCUAGUUAGACGGAAAGGCACAACCAAUACAUAAAACACCAAGUCUGAGGGUGCUGAUGAUUCUCCCAGGAUAGUUCUCGUGUCAGACUCCAGUAGGCCAGGCUCCCAACAGGGCCUCCGCAGGGAAGCAGGAUUUGGGCAGGACCUUGAAAGAUGUGGGCAUGGCAGGCAGAGAGGGGGAAGGGAGGGAGGCCCGGGAAGAGACACCCUUGUGCAAAGGUCACAGCUGGCCUGGGUCUGCAGGUAACUGGUCCCUAGGUCUCAGUGUUGGGAACGCAUCCAGUCAAGUGUCAAAUAAUAUUCACAGACGGCCACUGCCAAAGAAUGACCUUCCAUAUUGUCCUCCAAAUAGGAAAUAUAUUGUAGGGGAGACACAGUUUUCUAUUCUACACCACAGAAAAACCUGCUUUCCAAUUCAGCGACACUGGGACUGCGACCUUGGGUCACCCAGCCCUCUGUCCGCCUCUCCGUCACGGAAGGCGAGCAGAGCAGCCAGCAGGGGCCAUGAAGCACACGACAGGCUCCACAAUGUGGGCUCACUGCCCCCUCUAUCCUAUUCUUCUGCAUUUUUUCUGCUGUUGAACUGUCAGGAUUAUCAUUCUGAAUGUGUGCUUAAAGUUCCAGGGAGAUGAUUCACAGCGAUUGCCGAAUCUUCUAUAGUCUUUGAUAUUUAUCUUGGUCACAUUUUCACACCAUUAAAAAUAAUGUUGGUAAGGGUA